UAAAUUGAAUUGGACUCCGCCGAGCCGCUCCUCUCAAUCCAGAAAUCCGGCGACCCAGCGGCGCCCCUCGCCCGCCCGUCGUCGCCGUUCUCCUCGCCUCGCCAGCCCGCCAUCGCCGUUCUGCUCGCCUCGUCCGCCCGCAGUCGCCCACUCGCUCCCAGCCCCCGCAGUUCCACCGCGACCCUCGCCCAGUCGCCCUAUCGUUCCCGUCGUUCCGCCGCCGCCGAGCUUGUCGCCCUGCAGCAGCCGUGCCGCCUCCGAGCUCCAACAACGUCACACCAGUUCUUCUUCUUCUUCUUCUUCUUCUUUAAUACAAAUUUCCUAUGUCAAUGUUGAAUAAUUGAAUUUGCUGCUUUGAAUAAUUGAAUUUGGUCCUUGAAUUUCACUAUGUCAAUGUUGAAUUUCGGCUGAAUUUGCUGCCCUGCUUUGAAUUGGUUGCCAUGCCCCCUGCAUCAUUUCCUCCUUGUUAUUUGUUGGUUGUCUCUUUGUUGUUUGUUACACGUAGAGGCUCUCUAUGUAUUCGGGUAAUUUAGGGUACCGAAUACCCGAAUCGGGUAUUAGGGUACCCGAUUAAGAAAUCGGGUUCGGGGUCGGGUAUCAGUUUCCGGCCUUAUUCGGGGUUGGAUACCUCGGGUAGGGUACCCGAUCCCGACCCGAUUCCCACCCCUAGAUCUUAUACAUUUCUUCGUUUAUUGUGAAACUCACUUUUCGUCGUUCUAUGUUGGUAAACAUCAGGGAUCUGUCAAUGGCUGACUCUUCCAAGUCCUUGAAACUCCCCAACUCUACUGCUACAGGUAAUUCAACACUCCAGUUAUUCACUACAAAGAAAAACAACAACUAUGCUUAAUUUUCUUUUAAUGAAAGCUGUAAUCUUGUGAUUUUAAGGGCAACAUUUUUAGGGAGUAAAAGAUUUUUGAAAACGAGACGGGUGAUGUUAGGCUUAGGUGCAUGCGUUUGAAAGAAUGCUUCUUGAAAAAUUGGCUGAUGAGUUGCAUAUCUUCUUCCCUAGUUGAAGAGUGGGUAGAUGAUUACUUUUUUAUUUUUAAAUUUUGGGGGGCGUUUAUAUUUGAAUUUCUGAUGUCCUGAUUGCAUAAAAUUUAAAUAAAAUUGAUUUUCAUGUUUAUUGAUUGAUUUGGAAUGGUUAACUCAUUUCAGUUUGGUCUUUUUCUGACAUACGAAGAACUCAAUGCGCCAUUUGGGUGGUAAAGGCUUGUUAAAUUUUGUUGGCUGAAAAGUGGAAAAUAUUGUUUAUGAUAGUUUGAAGUUAACUCUGAUUCAUUGGACUCAUUAUUCUUAUAUAUGUGGUUGUGAUCACAGGGCACAAGAAAAUGAAAGUCAAGAUUAUACGUAUCCUACAUAUGUGUGUGUGUGCAUACAUGCAAUUGGAUAUCUCCAUGGGCGUAUUAGCAUAUUCCAUAAACAGAUUAUAAAUUAUGUCCUUUUACUGGUUAUAGGUCGUAAGGUGUGAUUACCAGGAUUAACUUUUGAGUAAUAUUGUUCUGUAAUUUGUAUAAGUUGAAUAAUCUAAUUUUUUUUUGUGUAAGUUC
rnacentral:lncRNA from 1 species